GCUUUAAGCUUGCCUGUUUUAGAACCCGUGGCUGCACUUGUUCAGACACUGAAAUUAGCGUCCGCUUUGAGAGCCUUCAGAGUAUUCGUCGUUGGACCGCUGAUUUUUUUUUUUUUCUGAUAUGCUUCACUGGAACUUUAUUUGCUUCAAAAGUGUAAACGUUGUCAAUACUGUCUGUGAGUGUGUAUUCGGGACUGGUAACCUUUUCUGGAGGGUCUUUUGUUUAUCUGGAAGGAGAGUGGAGGUUACCAUAGGGAAACGGUCUAGUUCCAGGGUCCUUUCCAAUUUCCAACUACAAGAGCAGCGAAGAGGAAGGUGCUCAGACUAAGCUCUGAUUAGCCCUGGAGCCAGUCUGCACUGGGGAGGGUCUCCCCAGAUUGAGUGAAGGGACAACAGGCUGGGAGCUUGACUGGUAGGUUUGGAGAGUUGGACCUGGAGUGACAGAUGGCGCCUUCCCCUCUGUCUCUCGGUUUGGAAUGGUCAUACUCGGUUGCUCUUUGAUCUUGGACCUCAGCUUUGUCACAGAGGUUCCCAGCCCAGUGUAGCCUAAGCCAGCUGGAAAGCUGAGCCCGGCUCUGGGGGAUGCUGAAUCGGUUUAAAGCCCUUGUCUCAGGGCUGCGAGUUUGGCAACAGUUGGGUUUCAGCUUGGCCCCAGCACCAGAGGUCAUGAGAUCGAGACCAUCCUGGCCAACAUGGUGAAACCCCGUCUCUAUUAAAAAUACAAAAAUUAGCUGGGCGUGCUGGUGGACGCCUGUAAUCCCAGCUACUCGGGAGGCUGAGGAAGGAGAAUGGCUUGAACCCGGGAAGUGGAGGUUGCAUUGAGCCAAGAUCGCACUACUGCACUCCAGCCUGGCAACAGAGUAUUAAAAAAGAAAAAGAAAAAGAAAAAAAAAGCAUAUUAAUUAGAAUAGGGAUAUAGGAUCUCACUUUUUUUUGUCUCUCUCCAGGAUUACAGAGAUAAAGCAUUUAUGCAUAUACAGAACCACGGGAUUUUAGAAGUUGUCCAUCAGUUCCUCUGGUUGUUUUGGUACAAUAAAAAAGUGCUUUUUUUAGAGAUAGAAUCUCUGUUGCCUGGGCUGAAGUGCAGUGGCCUGAUCAUAGCUCACUGUAACCUUGAACUCCUGGACUCAAGCCAUCUUCCCGCUUUGGCUUCCUGAGUAGCAUGCGUGCUGCCACACUUGGCUAAUUUUCUUUUCUUUUUUAAAUUUUUUUGUAGAGGUGAGGUCUUGCUAUGUUGCCCAGGCUGCCUUAGCUUCAAGCGAUCCUUCUGCCUUGGCCUCCCGAAGUACUGGGAUUACAAGCAUGAGCCACUGUACCUGGCCAGGCAGUUCUUUAACAUAAACAACGUGUGCUGUGGGUCUGGAUUUUUUUUAUGCUAAGUGCUUGGCUAAGAGGAAGCAUUUGUGUUAGCCAUAAUUAUUGUUUUUACUGAACUCCUUAUGAUCCAUUCAUCCAAAAAUAGUUUGGAACAGGUAUUCUGUGCCACACCUCAAGGGUGGGGUGUGCCCUGGACUUGCUCUGUAUGACAGUAACAGGAAUAGCCCCCAUGGCCUAAAGCAUUGAUGUGAGCUGUGGUUUUUGCUCACCCAUCAACUAGCUUCUCUGCUUUGACUUUGAGGAGAAAGGGUUAAUUUUUCAGUGGUCCCAAGGCAUUAGAAGAAUUGCUUUGGAUUCGAAUAUCAAGACAUUCCAAAGGUCUCUUGUGGAAGAAACAUAGUUUGGUGUUAUAUAUUUGGGAAAACAUCUUUCUAUUUGAGAAAACAAGCAGAUUGUUAUUAUUACAGCAGUGGAUAAAAGGUGUGACAGGCAAAUCAUUGGUAAAAUAGACUAAAACGUUGACUGCUGCAGUAGAUGUUUUAUACUGUAUUUGAAAGAUAGGAAAGUAGUUAGUCUUGUUAAAUAACUGGCCGGGUGUAGCAGCUCACGCCUGUAAUGCCAGCACUUUGGGAGGCCAAGGCGGGUGGAUUGCUUUAGCCCAAGAGUUGGAGACCAGCCUGGGCAAUAUGGUGAAACCCCAUCUCUACAAAACGUACUAAAAUUAGCUGGGCAUGGUGGUGUGUAAACCAGUGUCAGCUGGGUCAUAGGGUCCUUUUUUAAAAAAUUUGAGACAGAGUCUCACUGUGUCACCCAGGCUGGAGUGCAGUGGCACAAUCACGGCUCACUGCAGCCUCGACCUCCCUGGGCUCAGGUGAUUCUCCCACCUCAGCCUCCUGAAUAGCUGGGACCACAGGCAUGCGCCACUACACCUGGCUAAUUUUUGUAUUUCUUAUAGAGAUGAGGUUUCUCCAUGUUGUCCCGGAUGGUCUAAUGCACUAGCUCUUCCUCUCUCUGGGGCGGGUCAUCUGUUGUACUCACUGCUCUGAUUACAUUCUCUAAUAUUUAAGUAGACCAUGACCUGUCAUGGUCUGGACGUGUGGCUAAUUAUACUUAUCUCCUCAUCUCGUCUUUAAAAAAGAAUGAUCUCAGAUUCUUAUUACCAAAGGACGUUGGCCUCCUUUGUAGAGAAUACUUUGGGAAGGAUCCUUCUGUGGAGUUUGAUCCUGGGGACUCUGACUUUAGAGUUCUUGCUGAUCUUUCCUCUCCCUUUAAGGGUAAGGAUUAGUAUAUCUGCAGACAUCUCCAAGCUUAAGCUUUGUUAUUGUGGGCUUAUGGGCAGCAGCUUAGCAACCAUUUCAAGGCACUCAGCUGUCUCAUGGGUCUGUCUCUGCUUGUCACUGUCCCCUCUUGCCCUCCUUCUCAGAUCAUGCCACUACACUCUAGCUUGGGCGACAGAGCAAGACUCAGCCUCAAAAAACCCCAAAAAACAUAAACCCAUUGUUCUCUGUGAGGUGGUGGGUCAGCAUGGAUCCGAUCCUAGGUGGUGGGAAAACACCCUUUGCCUAAUGCUAAUGCGUAAGCUCUGGCUGCUGAGUACACCUUGUACAGACUUUGGAGAGAUGGGAGUAGGGGGCAUUUGCUGGACUUGAAUUUACACCUGUGGUUGGGAUCCAGGACCCAGACUGGGGAGUCCAGCUCUUAUCCCCACCAGCAGUUAUUCUGUGAUUCUGAGGCAGUGCCAUCUGGCUACCACCCUUAGCCAAGACUCUUUUACCUGGGAUGGUUAGAUAUCAGGCUGCUGUGUUUAGUAAAUUGAAACACUUUAUAAUGUGCUUUAUUCAGAGUUACUGAGUUCUGAAUCAGGCCUAUAUUCCAGGGCCAUUGCUAUAAUUGCCUAUUAGCAUAUACAGACAGUUUGAAAAAUCUGUUUAUUUGAGCUUUUUGCUUAUGUGGACUUUGGAUAAUUGAGCAAUUCAGUAUAUUACAUAGCGGGAGUCCUUGUGCCUACACAUCUCUGAGCCUGCAGAGAAUGACUCUCUUCACCUCUCUAGGGAUUAUUUAGAAUUAAUAAAAUCAAGUACUUUUUCACACGAGCCUGAAGGAAUUGUUAACUGAAGGAACUUUUAUGUGAUACAGUUUGUUCUGAAAAUUAGGUAUUUAAGGACUUUGUCAAUUAUGGUUAAGCACAUUUUUUAUUAAAAAGAACAAGAUAUGUAGCUAAGUGGCUGUGUCCGGGCUGAGAUGUUUCUUCUCACUCGAUCCUACAGUGAAGUCAAAAUAUAGUGACAGAUUCAGUUUCCAUAGCUGCAGAAUCUGUUUUCAAAAACACAAGGCUGUGAUUUCACUGUAGUUCAGUGCACAUUGAGAAGCUAAUAUGGAAAUAGAAAUGAAACUUUUCAAAAUACAUGCCUUAAAACAAAAACUUCCAGUUCCCCUUUAGUGCUUAGAUGAGAUUUUUUUUUUUUUCAGGCUUUGUAAGUUUUGCAGAUUAAUUUCAGAAGUUGACGGCAAUGUGAUCCUGGUGGACUGUCAUUCUGUAGUGUUAGUCAGGAAGCCCCUCACACACUUUCUUCUCAUUUCCUAAUGCGACAGUUUUUCUUUUUUGGCAAUCACCUUUUUUUAUUACUGAAUUUUAUUGUUGUUGCUGUUGUUUUGAGACAGGAUCUUACUCUGUCACCCAGGCAGGAGUGUGGUGGCGCCAUCAUGGCUCACGGCAGCCUUGAACUCCUGGGCUAAAGCAAUACUCCCAUCUCAGCCUCUCAAGUAGCUGGGACCACAGGUGCGCACUGCUGUAUCUGGCUAAUUUUGUUUAUUUUUUGUAGAGAUGAGGCCUCACUAUGUUGCCCAGGCUGGUCUCCAACUCCUGGGCUCAAGCAAUCCUCCUGCCUUGGUCUUCCAAAGUGUUGAGAUUACAGGCAUGAGUCACCAUGCCCAGCACUGAAUUGUCUUUAAUAAAGAUACAGAAGGUGUGGCACAGUAGCUUGUGCCUGCUGGUUCUUUUUAUGUCCCAACUGUUUGUUCUGAUAAAUUUUAAAUCUGUAAGUGGUGAAAUAAGAAUACAGUGAAGUACAUUGAUGUUUAUAUUAUGCAUUUAUUAGCAUGUUUGCCAGGAGCUAUUGUAAUAAACAGCCUUGGGUUCAACACCAGCUUCACCUGUUGGUUCUUAGGCCUGUGGGCAAGUUAUCUCCAGCCCUAGUUUCCCCAUUGGUGACUUGAGGAGGGUGAUGUUGUGGGCCUCAUGGGCUGCUGUGAGUUUUUGGACAAAUAACUCCUUGGGGUAAUGCACCCAGGCCUGGCUAAGCACACAGUCACUUUGCAGUAAGUGGCAGCCAAUAUUGCUCUUUUCCUUGUUGGAGUCAUGAUUUUUUAAAAGCCAAGUUCCUCCUACGGAGUGAGUGCAGUGAAAGCCAGGACCUAAGGAGGAAUCACAAACAGAACUGUUCUCUUCCUCUCCUACCCAUGUCCCAUAUUCCCGGACCUCUUUCUCACUCUAGUUAUUUUGUUAACUUUAUCCUAGGCUGUGACAGCUUGGCAGCCGCUGUUUUUGGGUGGAUAAGGUUCAUUCCUAAUCCAGGCCUGUUCACUGGGAGGCAUGAGGCCCCAGGUGCUUGCCUUCCCAUAGAUACCCACUCUUGGUAGGGCGUGGUGGCUCAUGUCUGUAAUCCCAGCACUUUGGGAGGCUGGCAUUUAUUUUGUGUUUAUCUGUGUGCAUAUGUGUGUUUGUGUGUUCGUGGGCCUGAGUGUAUAUGAAAUGAGAGCAAGAGAGGACAGACACGCAUGACAGCAUGCACGUGCAGCCCCCAGUCCACAUACAAGUCUGCCCUGAAGUCAUUCGAGCAGAAUCUGUAACAGGGGCUGCCUGGGGCCCCUAGCUGUUCUGGCUUGUGCUGUUCAGGAGGCCCUGGGGGCUCUCCCAGGAGUUCACAAGAGGCUCUGGCAGUUGUCCUUGACCCUUUGUCAUCUCCUUCCCUGCGCCUUUGGUUACCCUGACACUGCUCCGACUUUCUGACUAUAGUUGCUGCUGUCGGCUCGUCUAAAUCUUUCUUAUUCUGUGGGUGGUCACACACACCGUCUUCCAAGAUGCUGCUUCCCUUCACAGCAUAGUGUAGCAGUAGUUGCAGUUUUCCAGUGAUCAGAAAUGCUUCCCAGUCCUACAUCUACAAUUAUUUGAGAUAAACUUUGAUUAAGUCACUUAAUCUUUGCCCAAGCCUUUUCCCCAACCCCUGCCUCACAAAAUGGGGAUGAUUCUACGAAGCUUUAUUUAAGGAGCUGACCCGGACUGAUGGGCGUGCCAGAAAGGUCAAAUGAGGUAGGAGAGUGGUAAGAUGAAAGACGGGAGGAACAGACCUCUUUGCAUGGUUGCCUGUCAGCUGCCCCCAACCCAACUUGACCCCGGAGUUCAGACCCCAUCAUUGUCCUAGCUGGAGUAUGCAUAUUUCAUAUAUGGACUUGAGCAGUCUCAGCGAGUCUUUGCUUUGAGUUCCUUUGCCCCUGUUACGACAAGAGGGUUGUUUUAAGAGAGAGUGGACAGAUGUAGGAGAAUGGUCAGUGGUCAAGGAUCACAUGGAAUGUCCGAUUCUCCACUGGACCAUGAGCUCCUUUAAGAGCAGUGUUACUUAGAGCCAUCAUAGGGCAAGCAGUGUCUUUGGAUCCAUUCAAAGCUAGACUCGCAUCCUAGGCAAUGUUUAGUCUUUGUGUUUCCUCUCUUGUAAAAAGUGGGUGCUGAUAUUACUUUAUAGGUUGUAAGCCUUAAACAGGGUCAUGCAUGUUAAUUACUGAGCAUAGUACCAGACCACUGGCCUGUUUUACAAUUACAAGAGUGCUGGGGCUGUCGACGCUUUAAAAGAGCACAUGUUGGUCUCAUCACCUUCUACGCAGGCAUCAGUUUGCUCAGAAAAGAAGCUGUAAAAUGGCAAGAAAAAGAAUUGCCCUGGCUAGAGAACAGGGAGACUGUAGGGCUGGUCUUAAGCAAGGCCCUUCAUGAGC
rnacentral:lncRNA from 1 species